GAUGAACGCUGGCGGCGUGCCUAAUACAUGCCAGUCGAGCGAACGGACGAGAAGCUUGCUUCUCUGAUGUUAGCGGCGGACGGGUGAGUAACACGUGGAUAACCUACCUAUAAGACUGGGAUAACUUCGGGAAACCGUAGCUAAUACCGGAUAAUAUUUUGAACCGCAUGGUUCAAAAGUGAAAGACGGUCUUGCUGUCACUUAUAGAUGGAUCCGCGCUGCAUUAGCUAGUUGGUAAGGUAACGGCUUACCAAGGCAACGAUGCAUAGCCGACCUGAGAGGGUGAUCGGCCACACUGGAACUGAGACACGGUCCAGACUCCUACGGGAGGCAGCAGUAGGGAAUCUUCCGCAGUGGGCGAAAGCCUGACGGAGCAACGCCGCGUGAGUGAUGAAGGUCUUCGGAUCGUAAAACUCUGUUAUUAGGGAAGAACAUAUGUGUAAGUAACUGUGCACGUCUUGACGGUACCUAAUCAGAAAGCCACGGCUAACUACGUG
rnacentral:rRNA from 1 species